rnacentral:rRNA from 1 species
AUGGAGAGCGCGGGAUCGCAGCGUAGGAAGGGAAGAGAGACGGCGGAAGAACUGCUGGCAAGGCUCACUUUGUAGGAAGAGGAGGAGGAGGAUUUCGUCUGGGAGGAAGAGCUGCCUGACAGUUUGGAACCUGCGAAGUGGUUGGCGAUUGCCCGCGUCCACACGCUGAAAUCAUUCAGUCCUAAUGCCCUCUACGGGGAUAUGCGGGCGGCCUGGAACCCGGCUAGACCGGUGGUGUGGAGAAAGAUCAAGGAAAAUCUCUUCACAGCGCAAUUUGGAUGCCUUGGUGACUGG